rnacentral:lncRNA from 1 species
UGGUACUUCAGCCGAGAAGGAAUUGAGAACCAUUCUCCAUGUAGAAAUGACGGGAUUGACCUUGGAAGAGAGGAGUUGUAACACCCUUACCCAACCUUAUCACCGAAUUCAGGUACGGGGUGUCACAACUAGAUCAGGUUAUUAAACAUACUUCGAAUUUGCGAAUUUAAAGUCAAUUUGUAUUACCUAUUUAUUUAAAGAAAAAUCUUUAUAAUGGAGACACUAAUUUUAGCCAAAGUUCAUUGUUUCAGCUUUGAACUCUAAAGCAUUACAUAAUUACAUCGUAAUGGACCUCGAGAUGAAGCCUUUCAUAGUACCUUCUUCCUAUGUGCAGGACACCAUACCGACAUCCAAUCCUUGGAGUAACUCAUUCUAGCUUAGUCCCUCCUUAAGUUCCUUAGCACACAAGUCCUACAACCACAGGUCAAAC